AGGAAUUGACGGAAGGGCACCACCAGGAGUGGAGCCUGCGGCUUAAUUUGACCCAACACGGGAAAGCUCACCCGGCCCGGACACGGACAGGAUUGACAGAUUGAUAGCUCUUUCUCGAUUCCGUGGGUGGUGGUGCAUGGCCGUUCUUAGUUGGUGGAGCGAUUUGUCUGGUUAAUUCCGAUAACGAACGAGACUCUGGCAUGCUAACUAGUUACGCGACCCCCGAGCGGUCGGCGUCCAACUUCUUAGAGGGACAAGUGGCGUUCAGCCACCCGAGAUUGAGCAAUAACAGGUCUGUGAUGCCCUUAGAUGUCCGGGGCUGCACGCGCGCUACACUGACUGGCUCAGCGUGUGCCUACCCUACGCCGGCAGGCGCGGGUAACCCGUUGAACCCCAUUCGUGAUGGGGAUCGGGGAUUGCAAUUAUUCCCCAUGAACGAGGAAUUCCCAGUAAGUGCGGGUCAUAAGCUUGCGUUGAUUAAGUCCCUGCCCUUUGUACACACCGCCCGUCGCUACUACCGAUUGGAUGGUUUAGUGAGGCCCUC
rnacentral:rRNA from 1 species